UUUGGGGAUAUUAUUUAUUAUAUAUAAAUUCAAAGGAUUUGGCGGUAUAAUAAUUUUUUAGGGGAGUUUGUUUUUUAAUUCGAUAGUCCACGAUUAACCUUACUUUAUUUAAAUAGUUUACACAUUUCCGUUAUUUAGGGUUUAUCUUUUAGAAAGAAAAAUAAACUAUUUAUUAUAAUAUAAUAAGUAAAUCAGGUAAAUAAGUAGUCUUAUAAAGGAUAAAAUGAGCUACAAUUGUGAAUAAUAUUUAUAUUGAAUAAUUUUUUGAAAUAAUUUUUUGAAAUUGAACUUAAAAGUAAUAUUGUAUUAGAAUGGUAGUAUGAAUAAAAUAAAUUAUAUGUACACA
rnacentral:rRNA from 1 species